UACGGAGGAUGCAAGCGUUAUCCGGAAUGAUUGGGCGUCAAGCGUCCGCAGGUGGCUAUGUAAGUCUGCUGUUAAAGAGUGAGGCUCAACCUCAUAAGAGCAGUGGAAACUACAUGGCUAGAGUGCGUUCGGGGCAGAGGGAAUUCCUGGUGUAGCGGUGAAAUGCGUAGAGAUCAGGAAGAACACCGGUGGCGAAAGCGCUCUGCUAGGCCGCAACUGACACUCAUGGACGAAAGCUAGGGGAGCGAAUGGG
rnacentral:rRNA from 1 species